GAAAUGCGAUAACUAGUGUGAAUUGCAGAAUUCCGUGAAUCAUCGAGUCUUUGAACGCACAUUGCGCCCCCUGGUAUUCCGGGGGGCAUGCCUGUCCGAGCGUCAUUGCUGCCCAUCAAGCACGGCUUGUGUGUUGGGUCGUCGUCCCCUCUCCGGGGGGGACGGGCCCCAAAGGCAGCGGCGGCACCGCGUCCGAUCCUCGAGCGUAUGGGGCUUUGUCACCCGCUCUGUAGGCCCGGCCAGCGCUUGCCGAACGCAAAUCAAUCUUUUUCCAGGUUGACCUCGGAUCAGGUAGGGAUACCCGCUGAACUUAAGC
rnacentral:misc_RNA from 1 species